rnacentral:misc_RNA from 1 species
AAAUUAUCAAAACAUACCUUUUGUUGAUUCAACUGGUUUAUUGUUUUGGACUUGGAGGUCUUGCGGAUUCACCUCUGCUCCUCUUAAAAACAUUAGCUGGAUCUCAGUGAGCUCGGUUCCACUCGGCGUGAUAAGUAUCACUCGCUGAGGACACCCGUAAAAAAGGUGGCCGGGGUUUCAGAUGAACCGCUUCUAAUAGUCCAUUGAAUUGGACAAACAUACUUUAUG